GGGGACGACCUGGUUUCGACGUGGGUUGCAGAGCAGUUGAGGGCAUGUCGUGGGCCGGUUAUCCACGUAAAUACAGCCGGAAGGCAAAUAUAACUGCCAACGAUGAAACCUUUAGUAUUAGUGAGGAACUUGCCGCUUAAUAACCGGUGUUCCUUCCGCUGCACCGCUUUGCGCAUGGGGUGGGUGUGUGGAAACAUGCACAGCAGUGUCAUAUUAGUGCGAUAAGGUGGGCUGAAUCUGUGGCGGCUCUUCCCGACAAUUUAGCAGAUAGCGUGUUCCAGCGUUUGCGCGCCGGUGCUGGGCAUGUGACCUUAACGGCGUUGCUAAGCAUGUAGAUCUUGCUGUAAAGUGCUUGCGGACGGCGGUUCGAUUCCGCCCGUCUCCACCA
rnacentral:tmRNA from 1 species